GGAUCAGCGGUUCUUCCCACACUCACCGAAGUGAUGCCAGUCCAGGACAGGUACCUCAGGAACGUCUGUGUAAAAGUUGAAUUUACAAGGACGCCAGCUGGAAACGAGUCUUCGGAGUCUGUUAAAGGCCUCAGACGCACAAACGGACCUUGCACAACUCUGCUGUCUACGGAUGGUUUUAAAACCUCGUCGGACAGCAUGAGGAGCUUAAAGUGACAGAAAGCAGGUGCAGACGCAAAAUGGCACCAACAGAGGGAAAGUCAUCUUCUGCAUUAAACAGAAGCACCAGCUGUGAAGAGAGUUGGUGCGGCUCAGAAUGUUUGGAGGACAUUGAUGGAAACGUCAAACUUAAACUUUUUUCAACAGGUAGAAUCUACGAACUGUGAGGACUGUUUAUGUAUAUUUUUGGCCACUGUGCCUUCUAUCCUUUGUUUCCUUUCCAUUCCUCUUAAGGUUUGGAUGUGAUCAGUGUGCUGUUGUAACUUUUUGUUUUCAGGUUGAUCGUCUCCCCGUAGUUGAGUUUAGUGCGAACACUUGCGUCGUCGAUGAUCGCUCUACAGUAAGUGCCGUAUUUCCUUACUUAUUUAAAAGGGUUGUCUCUCCUCGGCCGCCGUGCCGAGCUGUUCUGUCUUUCCAACAUGGCCGCCGUGCCGUGUGACUCGCAUUACGGCCGCAAAGCCGCUUCUUCAGGCUGUUCUGUCCAUUCCACGCCAUGCGUCGUCCAGCAUGGCCGCCGAUGCGUAGUUUGAAGCCAUGCUGGAGAAGACAUUUCAUUUCAUUUCAUUUUGAUCUCCACAAAGUAAGUGGCAUCUGUCUUUAAAUGUUGGUUCUGGUGUUGGCUUUUAUCUUGAGCUCUCAUUCUCUAUUUCCAACAUGGCCGGCUGCCAAACAGAGCUGUGAAGACCGUCGCAUUUGUUUAUAGUGUUGGUAGUAUCGUGUUGUACAAAUCCCCUCGUGUGUCUGCUGUAGUGAUCUGUCAUCUCCUGUCUGUCCCAGCACCUACCUGUUGGUCCAGCUCCUGUCCCUGUUUAUAUCUACACCUGUCUGUCCAGCAUCACCACACCAUCUCACUGGUGGCCACACCCCUCUGGCUGCUACACCAUUUUAACCUCACUUUAAUUUACCUGAUCUGGCCAUGAUUUGAUCAUUCAGUCAGACCAUAGUUCAGUUUCGUCUCUAUUGAUUUGACAAACAAAUUCUGGCGCCCAAACAAAAAAAUUGGACAAUAAAAAGCAAAGCGUCUUUUCCGACAUAUCUUAAACGCAUGCCUAUACAUGAGAUGAAUUGAUUUGACAAAUCAAACAAGUUACAAUUCCAAAUUUGUCCUCAUCCUAUAAAAUCCAAUCUGAAUGUAAUAUACCAUGGAUGAGGCUAUAUUGUCCAACCUCCUGAUGUCUCCGACUGAUGGUGAUCAUCCGGUCAACUUGGGACCAGCAGCAUAUUUCCAGAUCAACAGAUGGUGCAGAGGAAAAGUCAUCUUCUGCAUUAAACUGUUGAUUGAAGCACCAGCUGUGAAGAAAGUUGGUGCGGCUCAGGAUGUUUGGAGGACGUCGAUGGGAACACCAAGCUUAAACAUUUUUCAACAGGUAGAAUCUACGAACUGUGAGGACAAUUUUUUGUAUUAUUGGCCACUGUGCCUUCUAUCCUUUGUUUCCUUUCCAUUCCUCUUCGGUUUGGAUGUGAUCAGUGUGCUGUUGUAACUUUUUGUUUUCAGGUUGAUCGUCUCCCCGUAGUUGAGUUUAGUGCGAACACUUGCGUCGUCGAUGAUCGCUCUACAGUAAGUGCCGUAUUUCCUUACGUAUUUAAAAGGGUUGUCUCUCCUCGGCCGCCAUGCCGAGCUGUUCUGUCUUUCCAACAUGGCCGCCGUGCCGUGUGACUCGCAUUACGGCCGCAAGGCCGCUUCUUCAGGCUGUUCUGUCCAUUCCACGCCAUGCGUCGUCCAGCAUGGCCGCCGAUGUGUAGUUUGAAGCCAUGCUGGAGAAGACAUUUCAUUUCAUUUCAUUUUGAUCUCCACAAAGUAAGUGGCAUCUGUCUUUAAAUGUUGGUUCUGGUGUUGGCUUUUAUCUUGAGCUCUCAUUCUCUAUUUCCAACAUGGCCGGCUGCCAAACAGAGCUGUGAAGACCGUCGCAUUUGUUUAGUGUUAGUAGUAUCAUGUUGUACAAAUCCCCUCGUGUGUCUGCUGUAGUGAUCUGUCAUCUCCUGUCUGUCCCAGCACCUACCUGUUGGUCCAGCUCCUGUCCCUGUUUAUAUCUGCACCUGUCUGUCCAGCAUCACCACACCAUCUCACUGGUGGCCACACCCCUCUGGCUGCUACACCAUUUUAACCUCACAGUAAUUUACCUGAUCUGGCCAUGAUUUGAUCAUUCAAUCAGACCAUAGUUCAAUUUCCUCUCUAUUGACUUGACAAAUAAAUUCUGGCGCCCAAACAAAAAAUUGGACAAUAAAAAGCAAAGCGUCUUUUUCGACAUAUCUUAAACGCAUGCCUAUACAUGAGAUGAAUUAAUUUGACAACUCAAACAAGUUACAACUCCAAAUUUGUCCUCAUCCUAUAAAAUCCAAUCUGAAUGUAAUAUACCAUGGAUGAGGCUAUAUUGUCCAACCUCCUGAUGUCUCCGACUGAUGGUGAUCAUCCGGUCAACUUGGGACCAGCAGCAUAUUUCCAAAUCAACAGAUGUGGAUGAGGCUGCAGUGUCCGACCACCCUGAUGUCUCCGACUCAUGGUCAUCACCUGGUCAACUGAGGAGCAGCAGCUUAUUUUCACAUCAGACGAUAAGUAUAAUUUUUUUUUUUCGUUCGGUUGCUGGGUCUCUGCUGUGUGUCUAUAUCUGUCUAAUCAAUCUGUCCUUCAGCCACUGAUGUUACAUGUAAAAACACAAGGAGUCCUCUGUCUAUCCCAGCAUCCAAAGCCCUUUUUCAGAACUUUGCCACUUCAUUAGUCUUAAGUGGACACUUUAUUGCUUGUACAGAUGCUUUUGUUGUUCAGACAAGAUCAAGACUCUAAUUCUCUUAAUUCAUACAUGAAGCUACACAUUCUGAUGAUGCCAGAUUAACAAAGAAGUGCAUGUCUGAAAAAGGGCUGAUUACUCAGCUCUCGGUCAGAUUGAAUUAAUAUUGGUGCACUAAGCUUGUGUCUGUGCAUUUUUCCUUCCAGGUAGCGCUCUAAACAGUUUUCUUUAUCUUAGAAUUAAAUAGAAUAUCCUAUUAAUCACCCAAGGAGAAAUUUGUGAAGUGACAGUAAGAGAAAACAAUAAAUAAAUUAAAGAGGUGAGGUAUACACACUGUAAAUAAGAAAACAAAUUUAAGAAUAUUUACAAUUGAAUUGCUUUUUGGACUGUUCAGUAUUGCAGAAGUAGCUGUAGUUCAGUGUAAUUACAGUGCAGGAUAGUGUGUGUGUGUAUAGCAAUGCAAAACUAAAAUAGUAUUUAAACUAAUCCACCUAAAAUAUGGAGCUAGCAUUACAAACCUUUUGAGAAAAGUGAGUUUAGAAACACUU